GUGGGGAAUAUUGGACAAUGGGCGAAAGCCUGAUCCAGCCAUGCCGCGUGUGUGAAGAAGGUCUUCGGAUUGUAAAGCACUUUAAGUUGGGAGGAAGGGCAGUAAGUUAAUACCUUGCUGUUUUGACGUUACCGACAGAAUAAGCACCGGCUAACUUCGUGCCAGCAGCCGCGGUAAUACGAAGGGUGCAAGCGUUAAUCGGAAUUACUGGGCGUAAAGCGCGCGUAGGUGGUUUUGUAAGUUGGAGGUGAAAUCCCCGGGCUCAACCUGGGAACUGGCUCCAAAACUGCAUGACUAGAGUACGGUAGAGGGUAGUGGAAUUUCCUGUGUAGCGGUGAAAUGCGUAGAUAUAGGAAGGAACACCAGUGGCGAAGGCGACUACCUGGACUGAUACUGACACUGAGGUGCGAAAGCGUGGGGAGCAAACAGGAUUAGAUACCCUAGUAGUCC
rnacentral:rRNA from 1 species